rnacentral:rRNA from 1 species
AGUGAACGCUGGCGGUGGGCCUAACACAUGCAAGUCGAACGGCAGCACAGUAAGAGCUUGCUCUUACGGGUGGCGAGUGGCGGACGGGUGAGGAAUACAUCGGAAUCUACUUUUUCGUGGGGGAUAACGUAGGGAAACUUACGCUAAUACCGCAUACGACCUACGGGUGAAAGCAGGGGAUCUUCGGACCUUGCGCGAUUGAAUGAGCCGAUGUCGGAUUAGCUAGUUGGCGGGGUAAAGGCCCACCAAGGCGACGAUCCGUAGCUGGUCUGAGAGGAUGAUCAGCCACACUGGAACUGAGACACGGUCCAGACGCCUACGGGAGGCAGCAGUGGGGAAUAUUGGACAAUGGGCGCAAGCCUGAUCCAGCCAUACCGCGUGGGUGAAGAAGGCCUUCGGGUUGUAAAGCCCUUUUGUUGGGAAAGAAAAGCAGCAGGUUAAUACCCCGCUGUUCUGACGGUACCCAAAGAAUAAGCACCGGCUAACUUCGUG